rnacentral:rRNA from 1 species
UACGUAGGGGGCGAGCGUUGUCCGGAUUUAUUGGGCGUAAAGAGCGUGUAGGCGGCCAGGUAGGUCUGCUGUGAAAACUCGAGGCUCAACCUCGAGACGUCGGCGGAAACCAUCUGGCUAGAGUCCGGAAGAGGAGAGUGGAAUUCCUGGUGUAGCGGUGAAAUGCGCAGAUAUCAGGAAGAACACCCGUGGCGAAGGCGGCUCUCUGGGACGGUACUGACGCUCAGGUGCGAAAGCUAGGGGAGCGAACAGG